UACGGACACAUCAGAGAUUAAACACCUAUUCUCGUACGAUCACUGAAGUUAAGCAACGUUAAGGCUGGUCAAGGCCUACAUGGGUGUUCGCUUGGGAAUACCAGGUACUGUAAG